CGACUCCGGCGGGGCUCCCGCCCCGUCCCCUAGGGACCGGCUCUGCAGAGCCCCGGGGGCCUGACCCCGCCGGGCGCUAGUCUGGUCCAGGGGACGGUGUCGCAAAGUCGAUGUGGUGCCUAAAUUGCGGGGAUCAGAGGAGCUGACGUCAACGAGAUCGCCGGACACACUUUGGUAGGUCGUCAAAAUCCCUACCCUCCACUUCAGAGCCUUUCCUGGCCAAAGUCUGCGCCUGAAAGUGGCCGAAGACGUCUAACACUGUGAAGUGUCCAAGCAGUGAGCGAGGCCUUCCCAGCUGGGCCGCCGCUUCACAGCUCGUCCAAGGGCAUCUUCGCUCCUCAGCACGGUGAGCAGGCCGGAUCCGAAGCGCAGAAAGUCUACGUGAACUGAGUCAUGGUUCGAACCUCAAACCAUCUUCUUGGUUCUUGCCCCUUCUUCUCACAGAAGCGAAGGAAAUUCCUGUCUGCUUUCCACAGAGAGCUCUUCAGCCACUGUUUAGGAUGCUUGUACCCUUCUAGGGCAAUCGUGCCCUCUGAGCCACUUGGAUAACCCGGUACUUGAUUGUUAUAGUUUGCAGCUAGAAGAUCCUGGGAACCAACUAAGUCUGACUCUUUAAUCCAAAAGGAAAACUGAGGAAAUCCCCAGACUAUGUGAAUUUUUUAUUUAUUAACCACUGUCCAAAGCAUGGGUCAAAGCAGUACUUAAGAGUAAUUUGGAGACCUAGACCUUAGGCCAUAAACCCAGCCUCACCUAACUAGGUUAAUUAUCUUUUGAUCACCACUUAGCCUUUCCAUUUUCUGUACAAUGUGAAUAUAACCUAUGCUAUUAAAAGCACACAUAAUGGUCUGCUAGUCAUAUUCACACAAAUGAGCUGCUUCCAUUUUUAUAAUGAUACGCUGAGAGAUAGAUAGAACAUACGUAAUUAUUAUCAUCUUUAUUUAAAAGCCGAGAGGAUUUAGUGGCCUAGUUGAGUUCCCUGUAAGUAACAGAGUUCAAGAUGUCUUUUAAUGUAAAUACAACACCAAGUGUACCUCCUCUUCCUUUGAAGGAAAAGUCAUGAGACUUUAAUGACAUGCUUGUGAAAGUGCUUUCCUAAUAAAGAAAAAUAAAUAAAAAUCAAACACUUA